rnacentral:rRNA from 1 species
UACCUGGUUGAUCCUGCCAGUGGUCAUAUGCUUGUCUCAAAGAUUAAGCCAUGCAUGUCUAAGAACUGGCCCCUGUAACAGGCGAAUCCGCAAAUGGCUCAUUAAAUCAGUCAUAAUUUAUUGGAUAGCGAACAACCCUACUCGGAUAACUGUGGAAAAUCCAGAGCUAAUACGUGCAACCGAAACGCCGACUAGACUCGCAAGGGUCUUGGGAAGGCGUGCAAUUAUUAGAAUCGAACAGUGCGGCUUCGUGUCGUAUUCUUCGGUGACUCCGGAUAAUCUUAAGCCGAGCGCAAGGGCCUCUUGAGCGCCCGCGCCGUAUCCUGUAAGUGACUGCCUUAUCAGCUUUCGAUUGUAGGUUAAAUGCCUACAAUGGCGAUAACGGGUAACGGGGAAUCAGGGUUCGAUUCCGGAGAGGGAGCCUGAGAAACGGCUACCACAUCUAAGGAAGGCAGCAGGCGCGUAAAUUACCCAAUCCCGGCUCGGGGAGGUAGUGACGAAAAAUAACGAUGCGAGACUCAACCGAGGCCUCGCAAUCGGGAUGAGACGGACGUAAACGCUCCGUCGAGGACCUAGUGAAGGGCAAGUCUGGUGCCAGCAGCCGCGGUAAUUCCAGCUUCACUAGCGUAUACCAAUGUUGUUGCGGUUAAAAAGCUCGUAGUUGAAACUUUACGAAGGCAGGUAAGGAGGGGCGGUUGCGUAGGAAGUAUCUAUGGGGUUUCUUCUAGGAGCCGUCUUUCGCUUCUCUUGUGGGCUUCGUAUUGCGUCGUGCUCCUCGUGGGUGCGGCGUGGUGCGUUGUUCCUCGAAAGUGCGAGCGGUCAACCUCGGUCGAGCCCUUGUGCUUUCUUUCGUAGCUUACUCCCCUCCCCCUUUGCCCGAGUAAUACAACCCGUCGGUUUCAGGUGGGAUUGCGCUUCGCCGCGUGGCCCCGCUAACCGACAAUUUCACUUUGAUAAAAUUGGAGUGCUCCAAGCAGGUCCUACGAACCUGAACAGUGGUGCAUGGAAUGAAGGAAUAGGACCAGGAGUUGGUUUUAAUUCUUUUCGAGUUUGUUAACUCUUGGUAAUGAUUAAGAGGAACAGACGGAGGCAUCCGUAUUGCGACGCUAGAGGUGAAAUUCUUGGACCGUCGCAAGACGAACUAGUGCGAAAGCAUUUGCCGAGAAUGUUUUCAUUAAUCAAGAACGAAAGUUAGAGGAUCGAAGGCGAUCAGAUACCGCCCUAGUUCUAACCGUAAACGAUGCUAACUAGCGAUCCGCCGGCGUCAUUCCCACGACUCGGCGGGGAGCCCCCGAGAAAUCGUAAGUCUUCGAGUUCCGGGGGAAGUAGUGGUUGCAAAGCUGAAACUUAAAGGAAUUGACGGAAGGGCACCACCAGGAGUGGAGCCUGCGGCUUAAUUUGACUCAACACGGGGAACCUCACCAGGCCCGGACAUUGUUUGGACUGACAGAUUAAUAGCUCUUUCUCGAUUCAAUGGGUGGUGGUGCAUGGCCGUUCUUAGUUGGUGGAGCGAUCUGUCUGGUUGAUUCCGAUAACGAACGAGACUCCUACCUACUAACUAGAUGAGGUUGUAAUCCAUGUUGCAGGGCUUCGUAACGGCUUGCGUUUUUUUCCUUCAUGCUCGCAUGGGAUGGAAAGGCUUCACGGCCCGGUACUUUCGUGUGUGGUGUGUGGGGAGGAGCGCUUGUACGUGCGUUGAUCCAUAGCCAUCAUGUCUUCCUCUGAUGUAAUGAUCUUCUUAGAGGGAUAGGCGACGCGCCAAGUCGCACGAGAGAACGAGCAAUAACAGGUCUGUGAUGCCCUUAGAUGUUCUGGGCCGCACGCGCGCCACAAUGGACGUAUCAACGCGCUUUCGCAAUACCUUCUCCGAAAGGAGUGGGGAAUCGCUGAAACGCGUCCUCAGUUGGGAUUGGGGCUUGCAAUUGUUUCCCAUGAACCCGGAAUUCCCAGUAGACGCGAGUCACCAUCUCGCAUUGAUUAAGUCCCUGCCCUUUGUACACACCGCCCGUCGCUACUACCGAUGGGACGAUUCAGUGAGGUCGUUGGACUGGCGCCUUCGCCGUAACACGCUUAGGCUGACGGAAAGACGCCCGAACUCGAUCGUCUAGAGGAAGUAAAAAGUCGUAACAAGGUUUCCGUAGUGAACUGCGGAAGGAUCAUUA